rnacentral:misc_RNA from 1 species
AACAAGGCGUACCUGCGGACCUGCGGAAGGAUCAUUACAGAGUUCGUGCCCUCGCGGGUAGAUCUCCCACCCUUGUGUAUUCUCUACAUCUUGUUGCUUUGGCAGGCCGUUGGUUCGCCAACCACCGGCUCGCGGGCUGGUGCGUGCCUGCCAGAGGACCUCUCAAACUCGGUUUGUUAGUGUCGUCUGAGUACCAUAACAAUCGUUAAAACUUUUAGCAAUGGAUCUCAGAUCGGAAGA